GACGAACGCUGGCGGCGUGCUUAACACAUGCAAGUCGAACGGAAAGGCCCUGCUUUUGUGGGGUGCUCGAGUGGCGAACGGGUGAGUAACACGUGAGUAACCUGCCCUUGACUUUGGGAUAACUUCAGGAAACUGGGGCUAAUACCGGAUAGGAGCUCCUGCUGCAUGGUGGGGGUGGGAAAGUUUCGGCGGUUGGGGAUGGACUCGCGGCUUAUCAGCUUGUUGGUGGGGUAGUGGCUUACCAAGGCUUUGACGGGUAGCCGGCCUGAGAGGGUGACCGGCCACAUUGGGACUGAGAUACGGCCCAGACUCCUACGGGAGGCAGCAGUGGGGAAUAUUGCACAAUGGGCGGAAGCCUGAUGCAGCAACGCCGCGUGCGGGAUGACGGCCUUCGGGUUGUAAACCGCUUUCGCCUGUGACGAAGCGUGAGUGACGGUAAUGGGUGAAGAAGCACCGGCUAACUACGUG
rnacentral:rRNA from 1 species